rnacentral:rRNA from 1 species
GUCUAUAGCCGUACCAUUCUGGGUGCCUUGCCUUGUCUGAUCUCAGAAGCUAAGCAGAGUCAGGCUUGAUUAGUACUUAGAUGAGAGAAUUGGGGGAAGCAUUAUUUGGGAUGGAAA